UAUAUCAGCAAGUUGCUUAACCUCUCUGAGCUCCAGUUUCCUGCACUGUAAAAUGGGGAAUCAUAAUAUCCAUCAAUCUCCUUAUAAGAUUGGAAAGAUAAAGAAACUAUAUGUAAAAUUCUUAGCACAAUGUUCGAUCCAUGUGCAUGCUCAAUAAGUGGUUAUUCCUCAAAUUAGUUUCAUUUGUAUUGGGAUAAAUCAUUGUUCCCUCCCAUAGGUACAUUUUCUAUUUAACCAGUUGCCAGUUCUCAGAAUCUUCUCCUGCCCCCCACACCACACAGGCUGCAGAUUGUAGGGAUAGAUGACAGAGGAUGGGAGGCUCAUCUCACUCUCUAUUUCAAUACGUUCUACUUCAACAGCAGGGCUUGUUUUUAUUACCUUAUUGAGUUCACAUGGGUAGCUUUUGGCAGCAGCAAUUAUUCUCCUUAUUACUCUACAGAUGAAGAAAUAGAUUUGGCUCUGAUAUGUUGGAUUUUCUCAAGCAAGUCCCAUAUCGAAAAUAAAAGCGUUUAAUUCUAAUCAGAGACAGCCGGGAAAAAAAGAAAAAAAAAAAAAACCUCCUGGCUUCCUGCCUCUUGAAAGCCUCUCCUUCAAAAUGUUUUGAGGACCUGCAAUGUGCCAGGAAUAUUACAGCAAAUGAGUCUUCUUUGGUGGUCCAGCCACACCAGCCCUUAUACUUCACAGCGUGAGUGCCAGGAAGUCAGAGCACAGAUGGGAGGUGGGGCAUGGAAGCAGUGUUUGUCUUGGAUGAUAAAGAGAUAUAAACAUGAAGGCCAGGUGCGGCGGCUUACACCCGUAAUCCCAGCACUUUGGGAAGAGUGAAGUGGAGGAAGAGGUACAUUCAACUACAGAGGAGGAAACUGAGGCCCAGAGGGGAAAAGUGACUUGAUUGACAAAAAUUGGAUUCUGGUCUUUGUUCUGCCAAAGCCACUAAAUCUGUGUUGCUGAGUCUGCUGUUUGCAUGCAGGAAUGUGAAGGACUGCUCAAGUUGGAGAUACAAAUUGAAGCCAGCCCCAGUUCAAAACUGUUACAAAUGGAGUCUGUAGGCAUGAGGGGCUGACUAUAUAACUCAGAGUUCUCCAGUACUUUACUUUAAUAAAGAACACAAUCUUUAUUAAAGGAUAAGUAAUAAAAAUGUGUUGAUGUGCAACUUAUGGAUCUAUUAUUAAAACUCAACAGUCAUUGCAGCAAUGUUUAGAACUUAAGCAAACAAAAGUUUUGUGAGGGGGCAAUUUUAUCAAUGACAUUGUUUAGAAAUGUUGGUAGAUGGUGAUCAUAAAAAGCAGAUCAAUGUUUUAUUUCA
rnacentral:lncRNA from 1 species